rnacentral:lncRNA from 1 species
CACAAAUCCUUCCAACCUAUUGAGGUUAUUCUCCAUCCUUCUAUCUCUCAUCACCACCAUGGCUCCAUUUGAGAUAUUCAAGACUCCACUUCUAGCAUGACUGCUGAAGCUGAAGCUGCUCCGCUCCAAAUAGCCCAGUGACACCAGAUUCUUUUUCAAUUCUAGGACGUGCUUCACAUUUGUGAGAUUCUUUUUCAAUUCUUUUUCAAUUAUGGGUGAUCAUCUCUGAGUGUCACGAUC